UGAGGAAUAUUGGUCAAUGGACGCAAGUCUGAACCAGCCAUGCCGCGUGCAGGAUGAAGGUGCUAUGCAUUGUAAACUGCUUUUGUACGAGGGUAAAUGCAGGUACGUGUACCUGUUUGAAAGUAUCGUACGAAUAAGGGUCGGCUAACUCCGUGCCAGCAGCCGCGGUAAUACGGAGGACCCGAGCGUUAUCCGGAUUUAUUGGGUUUAAAGGGUGCGUAGGCGGAUUGGUAAGUUAGAGGUGAAAGCUCGAUGCUCAACAUCGAAAUUGCCUCUGAUACUGUUAGUCUAGAGUAUAGUUGCGGAAGGCGGAAUGUGUGGUGUAGCGGUGAAAUGCUUAGAUAUUUGGAAGAACACCGAUGGCGAAGGCAGCCUCCUGGGAUAAUACUGACGCUCAUGCACGAAAGCGUGGGGAGCAAACAGGAUUAGAUACC
rnacentral:rRNA from 1 species